UACGAAGGGGGGCUAGCGUUGCCUCGGAAUGACUGGGCGUAAAGGGCGCGUAGGCGGAUGGUACAGUCAGAUGUGAAAUUCCUGGGCUUAACCUGGGGGGCUGCAUUUGAUACGUGUUGUCUAGAGUGAGGAAGAGGGUCGUGGAAUUCCCCAGUGUAGAGGUGAAAAUUCGUAGAUAUUGGGAAGAACACCGGUGGCGAAGGCGGCGACCUGGUCCAUUACUGACGCUGAGGCGCGACAGCGUGGGGAGCAAACAGG
rnacentral:rRNA from 1 species